rnacentral:rRNA from 1 species
UACGUAGGGUGCGAGCGUUGUCCGGAAUUAUUGGGCGUAAAGAGCUUGUAGGCGGUUUGUCGUGUCUGCUGUGAAAAUCCGGGGCUCAACCCCGGACUUGCAGUGGGUACGGGCAGACUGGAGUGUGGUAGGGGAGACUGGAAUUCCUGGUGUAGCGGUGGAAUGCGCAGAUAUCAGGAGGAACACCGAUGGCGAAGGCAGGUCUCUGGGCCACUACUGACGCUGAGAAGCGAAAGCAUGGGGAGCGAACAGG